UUCACCCCUUCUUCUUCCUUCUCUUUCUUUUUUAUUUUUUUAUUUUUCCAUUUCUUCUCCACUCCAUUGUUGUUUCGAAGGGACAACCAUUGGGCGCCGGCCGCCCUGUUCGGGGGCAACAGAGACUCUGAGUCGCAGUACAUCUCUGCUCUGUCAAGAGGAUUGAGGGACAUUCGCCGUGUAGCUCCGCCCCUGCGGCGGACGGUAGCAAUUUCCCCGUGAGCGGGCACCGGCGACAACGGAAAGUAUGGUGGUUAGCAUGGAAGGUGUAGCAGCAACGGUAAAUUUGUUAUAUUUGAACAAGUUGUUUACUUGGACCUGCUCAAGAUGCAACGGUUUGAUUGAGGGCAAGUAUUAGACACUUUAUAUGACACCUAAUAAUGCUACACAUAUUCCUACUCAUGGUACAAAUAAUUAAAACUAUCUUGAUUUCUAGAACUUUGAAAUCAUUGAGCUGGUUGUGAUGUGAAGCACUGCCUACAGGCAUUUGUUGGCUUUGCUGCAGAUCUUAAUGCCACUGUGAUUGCAUUCAAAGGAACUAAUGAAAAAAGGUUCAAUCAAUCAAUGGUACUUGAGUGCUUCAUCACCGAUCUAUAUGAUUAC